UACACCUGAACAUCAGCAGGAGAGGACUCUUUAAAGUAGAGACACUACAUACUGAUAUACACCUGAACAUCAGCAGGAGAGGACUCUUUAAAGUAGAGAUGCUACAUACUGAUAUACACCUGAACAUCAGCAGGAGAGGACUCUUUAAAGUAGAGACUCUACAUACUGAUAUACACCUGAACAUCAGCAGGAGAGGACUCUUUAAAGUAGAGACUCUACAUACUGAUAUACACCUGAACAUCAGCAGGAGAGGACUCUUUAAAGUAGAGACACUACAUACUGAUAUACACCUGAACAUCAGCAGGAGAGGACUCUUUAAAGUAGAGACACUACAUACUGAUAUACACCUGAACAUCAGCAGGAGAGGACUCUUUAAAGUAGAGACACUACAUACUGAUAUACACCUGAACAUCAACAGGAGAGGACUCUUUAAAGUAGAGACACUACAUACUGAUAUACACCUGAACAUCAGCAGGAGAGGACUCUUUAAAGUAGAGACUCUACAUACUGAUAUACACCUGAACAUCAGCAGGAGAGGACUCUUUAAAGUAGAGACACUACAUACUGAUAUACACCUGAACAUCAGCAGGAGAGGACUCUUUAAAGUAGAGACACUACAUACUGAUAUACACCUGAACAUCAGCAGGAGAGGACUCUUUAAAGUAGAGACACUACAUACUGAUAUACACCUGAACAUCAACAGGAGAGGACUCUUUAAAGUAGAGACUCUACAUACUGAUAUACACCUGAACAUCAGCAGGAGAGGACUCUUUAAAGUAGAGACUCUACAUACUGAUAUACACCUGAACAUCAGCAGGAGAGGACUCUUUAAAGUAGAGACUCUACAUACUGAUAUACAGCUGAACAUCAGCAGGAGAGGACUCUUUAAAGUAGAGACUCUACAUACUGAUAUACACCUGAACAUCAGCAGGAGAGGACUCUUUAAAGUAGAGACUCUACAUACUGAUAUACACCUGAACAUCAGCAGGAGAGGACUCUUUAAAGUAGAGACUCUACAUACUGAUAUACACCUGAACAUCAGCAGGAGAGGACUCUUUAAAGUAGAGACACUACAUACUGAUAUACACCUGAACAUCAGCAGGAGAGGACUCUUUAAAGUAGAGACACUACACACUGACUAAGUUCUGUGCACCGGUUGCUUCCCUCCCCUCUGAGCAGCUCCUACACACCUCUGUACUUCAUCAGGCCUCUAACGGAGAGUCUGAUUGAUGAUGUUUCACCUGCAGCUCCGUCAGUAGAAGCCGUGCAUCAUUUGUCUUCUCUCAGAUUAUUCCUUCUCUCCUUUAUCCGUGUCCUGCAGGUGUUUUCCAUUCUUCCUCGUCAUCUUCCUCUUCUUCAGUGGUUGUUUCUGUCACAGGACACAGGAGGACAAGAUGCCGUUGGCAGCCUGGAUGCUACUUAUACCGAGUGCUGCUUACUACUGGUUCCUGAUCGCUGAGGGUCAGACCUUCAUCCUCUUCAUCUUCACCUUCUUCG